GAAAUUAGUUUCUCAUUUGUGGAAAUUUAAAAAAAAAGUGAAACAAGAUGGACUUUAAUUUUGAAAAUCUUAAAAAACUAGACAAAUAUUGGAAUUAGAACAUGAAGAAGUGGUAAGAGGGAUUGAAACAGGAUAGAUUAAAUGUUAAAACAUGAAUUAAGCAGGAGAUUUGAGAAAAAAUUGUAAACUGAGUCAACUCGGUGAUAUCGCCGAUCCUCAGAGCUCUUAUCCAAGUUUGAAUGGCAAGUAUAGGGAUCCAAAGAAAAAAAAAAAAAAAAAAAGUCUCCCCGUAAUCUAAGCUCAAUACAUCAUACGCCAUUAAUUUUGAAGUAUCGACUCCCGCAUAGAUUGGAAAUUGCUCAUAGAUCUCAAAUGUCCCUCCUACAAAUGUAAAAAAAGAAAAACAGGCAAAAAGAAGAAGAAGAAUUUCAUAUCGUUCCAUGUCUUCAAUGGUAUUGUUCUUUAUAACUUGUGUUUGACCACCAUGGCUACCGAGGUCGAUAAAAAUCACCAUCCCAGAAUGGUAACCCAGAUUUUUUUUAAAUUUUUUUGAGACCCAUUUAUCACUGGGUAUUUGAUACAGUAAUUAUGUCGCCGAGAGUUUUCCUUUCUUUUUACAGUAUUUUCAUUCCCCGAGAGCAAGAACAUUAACAUGAUUUCUGUUGCCUUAAACCAUGAUUUUGGACAAGCUGAUCUCUAUCAAUAUACAAGGUCACUGUUAAUUAGGAAGUAUUAAAGAACACAAUAGACAGCACAGGCUGCAUCAGGAGGUGUUGGGUGUAACUUUCCUUGAGGGCCUUGUCCAUUUAAAUAAUUAUAAUGUUUUGCAAAUUUUCAGAGUUUGAAGACAUCCAGUUGUUGCAUCCUUUCCGGUGUCAUCGAUGGUGGAGGAAAGCAUCACAAAAUAAAAAUGAAAAUUCAGCCAUCAGUGAAAAUGGUGGUUUAGGAAUUAGAGAAAAAGAAGCUUGAUGAGCUAUCUGGAGACUGGGACUAGCCUCUAAACUUUCAGAUGAUAAGUCUUAUGUGCAGCAGGUCUCCUGACCAGACAAUGCAACUAGCUACAUCUGUUAUAGCGUAUGCGGAACAAGAACAUCUUGUGAAACACUCCUUCUCGCAGCUGUUCGUUGUGUUCAGCACUUGUGAAUUAUCAGGUAAUUUCACCUUUGUAAACUUUACAAAACCCUCUUCCCUACUGCAAGCUAAUGGAGAACUUCGAAGACAUCCUGCAGAUGGAUUAAAUGCAUCACUAUAUUGUUGUGGUGAUUUUGGUGUAAAGCCUUUUAAGCACUCACAUGGCGGCACAUUAUUGAUGUUACAUGUACCAUGUGUACCACAUGGAUCAUAGUUAUCACAGCUGUCUCUACGCAAUGUUAUAACAACAAUCCACUCCUGAUUAAUAUCAUCCCAUUUAAGAUGAUC